rnacentral:lncRNA from 13 species
CGUGGAGCUGGGUCAGCAGCCUUCCAGGAGCUCCUGUGGUCAUUCUGGCAAGUGCUGAUUUACAGCUAUUUCUCAUGUCCUGGAAUGUGGGACUCACCGCUGCGUCCUGGGGAAGCAGCCCACGGAGAGCCUAUGUGAGCACGAGGACCUCCACUUCCUAGAUGAGCACCUGCUUGGAACGUCAGGCACAGAUCGGCAAGCAUGGAGGCUGAUGGAAAGCGAGGCGAGAGGCUUCGGCGGAGAGGUGGGGCCUGGCACCGCAAGAGGGAUGCGGGCGGGAGCCAGAGGGAAAGGACAGCACACUUGUGUCUGCCUCUUUCCUUGAUGGCGUGAGGGACAGCUGAACAAUGAGACUGGAAAAGAACUAGAGCUUGCCAAGCAGGCAGAUUCCCUUCGCUCUGCUGGUAGGCAGUGGCUUCCGCAGCUGUGCAUGGUGGGGGUUCUUCCUACUGCAGACUCAGCGGGGAAGGGGCAGCUACUUGGCCAUCACUCUGCCCGGAAUUGGGGUACCUUCUCUCUGACAGAACACAAACUGUAUACUGAGAAGAACAGACGAAAAAUGGUAGUGGGUGUUGGUGGACUUUCCCCUACCUGGUUUUCUCACAGGUGCUUCACACCUGGGGGCUAGGGCGGAGUGGAUACAUCGUAGGUGCUGGACCCCACACGGAGCGGCCUGCACACCGCUUCUUGGUCUUCACAGUGCCCCAUGGAAGGAGGAACUAGAGCAACCACAGCACAGGAGGACAUUCUGGCACCGAGAAGAUCCUCCAUGAGAGCCGGUUCGUUCCCCUCCCGGAGAAGCGUGGCUCCACGCCCGUGUACACUGGGACGAAUUAGAGAUCGCCAAGUGCCCAGUGAAAGAGGGAAUAAAGAAACGAGUGGCUGCA